ACCACUCUAUUCUGCCUUGGUCAGACCACACCUGUGUCCAGUUCUGGGCACCACAAGUUAAGAUAUCGACAAGCUGGAAUGUGUAUAGUGGAAGAAAACCAAGAUGACCAAGGGUCUGGAAAGCAAGCCUGAUGAGGAUUGAUUGAAGGAGUUAGGUAUGGUUAGCCUGGAAAAGAGGAGACUGAGAUAAGCUAUGAUAGCCAUCUUCAAAUAUUUAAGGGUUGCCACAUGGGGGAUGAAGUAAUCUGGUUUCUUUCUGCUCCAGAGGCUAGGACCCAAACCAACGGCUUCAAGUUGCAAGAAAGGAGAUUUGACUAAACUUCAGGAAGAACUUUCUUACAGCAAGAGCUGUUCAACAGUGGAAUGGACUCCUGCUGGAGGUUGUGGACUCUCCUCCAUUGGAGGUUUUGAAACAGAGGUUGGAUGGCCACCUGUUUGGGAUGCUUUAGUUGAGAUUCCUGUAUUGCAGGUGGUUUGCAUCUGACCACAGAGGAGUGUACCUUCAGGAGUGAAGUCAGUGAAGGCUUGUUUGAGACCCUGUCCUGCCGUGUGAUACCCAAAAGCUUCCUGAUGUAGCACAUAGAGAAGGCGUUGAGGCAUCGCCCCGAUGGUUGCAGGUUGCUCAUGACUGACUUCCAUAAAGCAGCCAGCUCAACACACAAGCCUGCAACAAUCUUACUUCACUUCUUCGGAACUCUAUAUGUGUUAGCUACAGAUUAGCAAAGGGAGGCUGUGGCAACAUCAACCUGAGGAUCUCACUGAACUGAAAUGGACUUUUUGAAGAGAAAAAGGUAUGGUGUUCCUCCCCAAUGGCAAGCUGGAAGGACAUAUUGAAUGUUGGGCUACAGCUACAUGCUUCCUAGACUCUAUCACAAAAGGCGGUUUUAACAAGUUUUUGUAUUAGCCUUACUUCAGUGGUUCUGAGAUCUCCCCUGCCCAACACAAACACAACUUCUUCAUGAUGGAAGGCCAAAAUAUGAGACAGGGGAAAAAAAAAUAAUUGUAUUAGGAAUGAGCAGAAUGGGGAAAUCUCCCUUGUUUUCUGGAUUUCGACAGCCAUAUAAGGGACAAUCCUGUGGCAAGAUCCACUAAAACCAGUGGGAUUUGGAUCAAGCGGAUCUAUGGCCUAUGCUGAUUUAAUUCCUUUAUCCUCUACUCAGCUGGAGAUAUGCCAGUUUAUCUCCUUCAUCCAUCUGAACUGAGCCCAGCAGAUCUUAGGCUGACAAAAAUCUUUUAAAGGGGUGUUCCAGGAACGUGGCAGAGACAGGAAACAGGGACACAGGCUGGAUCCUAAACCCAUCCAGCUCGGUCAAAUGACCUGGCAAUAUAGUGUACCAUUAAGCUAGCAAAAAGAGCAUUGUAACUCAAUAUUUUAAAGGCUUAUUUCCCAUCUGCCGGACUACUUUUAUUGUGGGAGCUAAUUCCACAGUUUAACUAUGGUGCUGAAUUAAAAUGUGGUAACCUUUCCUUCCUAGGGGGGUUACUUUAACCCCCUUGAUCAUUCUGAACCUCCCCUGGUUUGAAUAAUUUACCCUUAUAUGUUCCAUUGUACAAAUUUGAGAGGAAUAGCAGGCUGUGCAGGAGGAAGGAGAAGAAGGGAGUCUGUUACUCUGCUUGCACAUGGACACUGUUGGAUGCAUCCCAAAGGACAGGACAUGUUUAAUAUGAAAUUUGUAAUGCUAAAUAGUCAUCCUAGAAUAAGCAAAGAGAUUUAAAAGUGGACUCCAAAGAUAUGCAAGAGAAGGACAAGAUUUGGUCCUUUGGAAACCAAAUAUCAGUGAAAAGAACUGGAUGAGUUUUAUUUUGGAACCUAACUAGAAUACAUUUGGUAUCUUGAGAAAAUAAUACCAUGUCAGAACAUUGAACUAAAUCAGGUUUCCUGAAGAUAUGGAGAUUAUUUAUUUAUUUAUUUAUUUAUGACAGUCAUUGCCUGCUAUCUUUCCUUAGCAGGUGGUUUAUAAAUCAUUUUAAUGAAUACAGCUUUAUAGGGGAUUUGUCUAGAUGGAAGAGGCUAGUUCCAAUUAAAUUGAUGGAUUUAUGGAACAACAGGCAGUUUACAGUUUAUUAAUUAUCAAGAUCUUCCUACUAGAAAAUUGAAACAAUUGAAUGUUUCAAUUUUCUUGGUUUGUUUGUUGGUUUUUUCAAAAGAGGCAUAUUGUGUCCUAGAAAAAUAGUCAACAUAGUCAGCUCACAAAGUUGAUGAAUGGAGAAGCCAGUGUAAUUUACACCAGUUUAAGUUAAGCCAUCACAAAGUAUACCACAGCCAAACUCCAUUCAGGAACGGAGCUACUGCUGGCUGAGCUGGUUUAAGACUGGCAGAGGGAAAACAAGCCUUUAAAAUGUUGGUAUUUUGGUUAAAGAAAAUUGGCAUUGAAAAGAAAAUUCCUGGAUGCUAAGAUCCAGGUUUAGGGCAAGUACUCUUUGGUGAGAGAACCCAAGCAGAGAUUUAAAAUCACAAAAUAUACAGCUAAGCAAAGCAUGAAAAUAUAGGUUGCGAGACCUUUAAAAUAAUCCAUUCUACGUUUCUUAGAAAGUUCCCCUCCUCCUUUAGCAAAGAAAGAGAUCACACAUUCAGUAAGUUAAAAAUGGUUUACUUACAAACUCUACGAAGGCCAGAUUCAUGUGCUUUUCCAGCUUCUUUGGCGAUUACUUGUAGCCGAGUAAGAUUGUCUUCCAUAAACACGGUUUUAACAAGUAAGUGACUGUGGAGGCCAAUUCUGGAUCCACAUGUCCUUCCACAGUGGGGACAUUGGUUUCCGGGCAGGAGUUAAUCAUGGUGUGGAUUUGCCAAGCGUUCCUUCCUCUUAGCACGUUUCUCCCUUGCGUCCUGAGUUCGAGUGUCUUCAAAGCCCAUGACACCUUUGGUAAAGGCUGUUCUCCAACUGGAGCGCUCGUAGGACAGUGUUUCCCAGUUGUCAGGGUUCAUACCACAUUUUUUUAGAUUUGCCUUGAGACAGUCUUUAAACCUCUUUUGUUGACCACCAGCAUUACACUUUCUAUUUUUAAGUUCAGAAUAGAGUAGUUGCUUUGGAAGAUGAUCAUCCGCACAACAUGACCAGUCCAACGAAGUUGAUGUUGAAGAAUCAUUGCUUCAAUACUGGUGAUAUCUGCUUCUUCCAGUAAACUGAUAUUAGUUCACCUGUCUUCCCAAGUGAUGUGUAUUUUUUUUCGGAGACACUGUUGAUGGAAUCUUUCAAGGAGUUGGAGAUGGCGUUUAUACGUGGCCCAUGUUUCACAAGCAUAUAGUAAGUUUGACAGUACAAUAGCUUUGUAAACAAGCAUUUGGGUUUCCCUGUGAAUGUCCCGGUCCUCAAACACUCUGCACUUCAAUCGGGAGAAAGCCACACUAGCAGAGCUCAGGCAAUGCUGGAUUUCAGCAUCAAUGUUGGUCCUUGUGGAAAGAUAACUGCCUAGGUAGGAGAAGUGAUCAACAUUUUCCAACGUUACACCAUUGAGUUGGAUUUGUGGCACUGCAGAAGGGUUAUUUUGUACUUGUUGGUGCAGCACUUUGGUUUUUUGGAUGUUGAGUGAUAGCUUUUCGUAAGCUUCUGCAAAGAUAUUUAGGAUGGUUUGGAGGUCAUCCUCUGAGUGUGUGCACACUACAUUGUCAUCAGCAUACUGAAGCUCUAUGACAGAAGUUACAGUAACCUUACUCUUUGCUUUCAGCCUGUUCAGAUUGAAGAGCUUUCCUUCUGUUCUAUAUAUGAUUUCUACUUUGGUGGGGAGUUUCCCUUCGACAAAGUAUAGGAUCAUGGCAAUGAAAAUAAUGAAUAGGGGCAAUAACACAACCCUUUUUAACACCUGAUCUCACUGUGAAUGUUUCACUUUGAGAGCCAUUGUUAUCUGCGAUUGUUGCUGUCAUAUUAUCAUGGAGGAGCCGAAUGAUGUUUACAAAUUUAUCUGGGCAACCAAUUUUGAGAAGGACAGUCCACAGGGCAUUACGAUUUAGAGUGUCGAAAGCCUUAGUCAGGUCAAUAAACGCCAUAUACAGGGGCUGGUUUUGCUCUCUGCAUUUUUCGUGAAGCUGUUGAGCAGUGAAAAUCAUGUCCACUGUCCCCCUAGAAGGCCGAAAACCAUUUUGGGAUUCAGGAAGGGUCACCUCAGAUAUUGUUACAAGAUGGUUUGCUAAGACCCUUGCAAGAAUUUUGCUGGCCACAGCUAAUAGAGAGAUGCCUCAAUAGUUUCCACAAUCAAUUCUGUCACUUUUUUAAAAAAAGAGAUUGAUAAUUUUGACAUCCCGAAAAUCUGCUGGGAUUUCUUCUCUUUCCCAGAUUUUUUUGAUGAGCUUGUGAAGUUGUUGUGUAAGUUCAAUUCUACCCACUCUGAAGAUUCCAGCAGGUCCACUGGCUUUGUUGUUUUUCAUUUGGUUAAUAGCUGUACACAACUCUUCCAGAUUUGGAGAUACAGAAAGCUCAUCUCUAACUUGUUUUGCGGAAUUUGUGAGAGGACCUCAGCAGCUACAGGGGAGUCGCGAUUAAGGAGAUGUUGGUAAUGUUCUUUCCAGUGUAGUGCAAUAGCUUCUUUAUCUUUUAGAAGUGUAAUACCGUCUGCUGAGCGUCGGGGGCAUAUGCCAUGAUUUAUUGGCCCAUAGAUGGUCUUUGUGGCUUUAAAGAAACUCUGUGCAUCAUGAGUGUCAGCUAAGUGCUGGAUCUCUUGAGAUUUUUUAUUCACCAGGUGUUUUUCAGUUCUCUGGUUCUUCUUUGAACCUCAGCUUAGCAUUGGCAUAGGUUUUUUUCUUAGUGGCACAGUUUCUAUCUCUUUGCCAGAUCUGAAAGGCCUUUCUUUUCUUGUCAAUCAUGUGUUCAAUCUCACUAUCAUUCUCAUCAAACCAGUCCUGGUGUUUCUUGGCUUGGUAUCCAAUAGUUUGUUGACAGGCUGCAAUAAUGGAUGUUUUUAGUUUGGUCCAGUGUUCCUCGAUGUUAUCAGCGAAUUCUGAAAGCAGGUGGUCCUUAAGAGUCGUUUGGAAGCAAUCCUGCCUAAUGGGAUCUUGAAGGGCUUGAGUGUUCAUUUUGUAUCUUGGUUUCCUUCCUUGAAGCCUGCGUUGAGGUAUAAUCUUGAUAGCCAUCGUGGAGCAUAUUAGUUGAUGAUCUGUCCAGCAGUCUUCGGCGCUCGUCAUAACUCUAGUAAGGAGCACAUCAUGGCGAUCUUUAGCAUGGACAAUAACAUAGUCUAAGAGGUGCCAGUGGUUUGACCGAGGAUGCCUCCAUGAAGUUUUAAAUUUAUUUUUCUGUCGAAAGGGUAUGUUGGUAAUAACAGGGUUGUACGCUGCACAUAUCAUCAAAAGUAAGAUUCUGCUCUGGUUGCUGUUGCCAACUACUUCUUUCCCAAUAGUCCCAGGCCACAGAUCGAAAUCUUGCCCAACUCUUGCAUUAAAAUCACCCAGGUGGAUAAUUUUAUCUUCCUUAUGCGUCUCUGAUAGGACGGUAUCCAGCUGAGAGUAUGCUACUUUUCCAUACAGCCGUCAGAAAACACAGGCAAUAAAACUUAGGUUCCAAGGUGGUGAAUGUUUCUAAAUUAUCUGUUUAGAAACACAAAGAUGGCUUGCCAAGCAGUCUGAGCUUGGAACAACCAGCUCAGAUCUCUUUACUCAUAGGAGUUCACAUGGUGGAAUGGGAGAACAAGGAGCUUGACAACUCUUCCUCCCAAGGUGAGGGGAAGUGACAGUCUGGCAGGACAGCUUAGAAAUCAUAGUCUUAACCGUGUCCUGCAUUAAUCAGACUUAAGCAUAUGAGGCUGAUUCUCCCACAAAAAAUAGAGUUUGACUUACCCUAACCCUUUUGCUUGCUUAACUUUUGCUGCAUAGCCAGGUCACAUGACUGAGCUGAUCCACUGUAAGUUUUUCCAUUGCUUGAUCCCCCACCCCCCACAACAACAUUUUUUUCAUGGUUUAUUCUGGCCUAAUUCUUGCCAGUUCCAGAUCGGUUUGGAAUUGGGAGUUCCACAUUUCUUUUGUGAAAACAGGCCAAAAUGGACCCAAAUAACUUGUCAAGCACAAUGACAUUUCUCUUUUUGUUUUAUUUUGGAAGAAUCACCGGCAAGCUUCUGCUUUUUAGAAUGCCAUAGCUGGUGUUGACAAAACAUUUGGUCUAUUGAAUAUCUUGAUGUGUAAAAACCACGCUAUUUAGUAUAUGAUACUGUGCAAGUCACUGAAAGAUGCUUAACAAUAAUAAAAAUGUUAAUAACAAAACUAAACAAAAGCAAAAGCAAAAAAACACCUGGUGAAGCUACAGUGAAUUAGUUCAAUAGGCUUCUGAGGGAAUACUUGAAAGAAGGUGACAUUUGAGAAUUUUAGCCCAUCUGGUGCCAUAGCAGCCUGCCAAAAAACCUAACCGAAUUUUAAUAGGGCAUAGCUUUUUAGUCAGGUUCCCUGAGCAGUUUUUACCAUAGGUUUUCAAUUCAAAAGAAUCAAAGCUUUCUUUCUGCUUCAGCUACGCUAACAAUGCCACCUACACAAUGAUUAUGAUGUCCAUUUCAGCAACCAGAACUUCCGUCAGAGUUCCUUUCUGUGGAAACACCCCCCCCUUAAGAUCUCUUGAAGUCAUCAAAUUAAAAUUUGCAAAUGAAAUAUUAGACCUUUGUGAUCUUUACUUAAUAAUAGGCUUCUGUUAGGACUCUCUUCUCUUUGAAAAAUGGAGGAGUAAGAGGAACAAAGAAAGAAAACUGCAUUCCACACAAGCUGUUUGCAUUGCGGAGCUGGGUGGCAGUGAUGGGGUGGGUUGCAAUCACAAGCAUAAUAAUUUAGAUUUCAUGUGUUCCAAGUUUUAAAAGUAUGUAUCUCGCCCAAGC